GCGGUGCAGCUCCGUAGCUUAGCAAAGUCGAACUAAAACAUUUUUUGACAGAUUGCUGAGCGCCGUGUAUCACAUAAAAUCGGUUCGCGGUCAUCAAGCACAACCAGAAUUCAUACAAAAGGCGCGCAGUCAACUUUUGAGAAAAUGAAAGGAUUUCAGGCCGUGCAUGGCGUUAGCAUGGCUAGCUCGUUAGCGUGGUUAGCUCGUUAACACGUUGACGCCAUCCAGCCCCCCACACGGGGCGAUGCGCAGUAACUCAUUAACGGAGAUUUGCCGUGUCCAUCUUGUCGCUGCCUGCACGUGAAGCGAUGGGGGAGGAGGGGGAGUUGUGUUCAGUGAAGGAGAGGUGUUUGUCUGGGUGUUAAAGUUUCCCAAACACCCGUGGAGGUUUUCAGGACACCUGGAGAAAACGUCCAGCUGGUCUGCAGCCAUGAAAAGACCGACUACAUGCUCUUGCAGUGGUACCAGAAAUCCCCUGGAGACCAGGCUCUGAAGCGCAUUGGACAUUUAUAUUAUAACAGCAAAGAGCAUGAGGAAGUGUUUAAGACACAUUUUAAUAUUAGUGGAGAUUUAAGUGGAGAGAAAGGAAAGAAUGCUUCUCUGUUUAUAGUGGACCUAAAGGCACCUGAGCACAGUGCAGUGUAUUACUGUGCAGCAAGCUAUGCACACUGAGAGGAAAACCCCUCCCUGUAAUACCAAAACUCAAACCCAUUGAAGUUGAUGGUUUUAAACUAACAUACUCCUCCCCACAUCUUGGUUAGAUCCCAGCCAGUAUAAUUUUCACUUCACUUUUCUCCUCAAUGUCAAUCAGUCAAAUCCCAAUAUUUAGAUCCCUAAAAAACAUAAAUUGGAGGACAAUAUGAUCAAUAUUCUCUUUCUCUGUCUGACAGAGAAUACACUGUUUGCAUAACAUAAGAUUAUCUAAAAGUGUAAAUGUUAUGAUUUAAACAAAAUUGGGUUUUUUUUAACGUUUCUACGAGUCUUGAGGUUCCGUCAGUCUCCCUUUGAGUUCAUCACAAAUGUUGGUUCAGAUGUUCUGCGGCCAUGAAAAGACUGACUACAGAGUGAUGCUCUGGUAACAGCAGCAGCCUGGAGAGAAAGCUAUGAAACACCUUCUCUUUAAACUUCAAAGUUGUCACAUUUGAAGACCAGUUCAUGAUCAUUUCAAUAUCACUGGAGAUUUGGGUGGGAAUAGAGCAAAAAAGGACUCUGUCCCUAAACAGCAUGGCAAAUUUCAGAGCCUAUGAAGCUUUCACAGACAAAGAAAGAAAAUAACAGUGUGUACCACAAACACAGAAACACUAUUUCUUUCCAUGAGGUGGCCGUAUGUCUGUAUGUCUGCCCAUUUUCCUGGUGGGAGGGUUUAAGAAGAAAUGAGAUAUGAAUAAUCAGCAGAACUGAAUAUACAGUUAUGAAAGCACAGACAACAUAACAGUGGUGUUCCUGAGUUUAGUUAUGCAAACCAACAUGGUAAUUACUUUCUUCUGCAUAAGCCUUAACAUUAUCCUCGUGUCAGGUUCUUCACUCAGUGACCAAGUCCACCAGGAUCCAGCUGAUAUUUAUAGAAUUCAAGGAGAAACAGCAGAAAUCACCUGUUCACACAAUAUAGACAGCUAUAAUAUAAUCCUCUGGUACAAGCAAACAAAAAACAGCCAACUGCAGCUCCUGGGACACGUGUAUUCAACAAACCCAUCUGUAGAGCCUGGAGUGACUGUGACAAUUGCUGGGAAUGCAAAUAAAGACGAGACCUGCACACUGACAAUUAAAGAUCUCUUCAUGAACAGCAGUGCAGUGUACUUCUGUGCUGCUAGAUUCCACAGUGCUACAUAUCACUGAUCCACAAUACAAAAACCUUCCAAAUGGUAGUUUUUAUCUCUUACAGCUCACAGACACUCGCACCUGUAUUCUAACCAACAUUGAUCUUGUGAUUAUAAUCCUUAGACUUAAAACCUUUAACCUCCACC
ensembl:lncRNA